CUUUCAAAGUCCACACUCAGUCGCCUACUGUGGCGUUAUUCAUGGUCCUUUGCAGUGUCAUUAAGUGGAUUAUUCUUAUCCGUGGGUUGUAUUUUUUCCCCCUCAUUCAGAUGUCACAAAGUGCAGUACAGAAGCCCAGCCUAAAACCCCAGACAGCAAGCAAUGCAGGUGUAGAAGAACGUGUUCAGUGAUGGACAAUGCAGGUGUAGAAGAAUGUGUUCAGUGAUGGACAAUGCAGGUGUAGAAGAACGUGUUCAGUGAUGGACAAUGCAGGUGUAGAAGAACGUGUUCAGUGAUGGACAAUGCAGGUGUAGAAGCCCGUGUUCAGUGAUGGACAAUGCAGGUGUAGAAGCCCGUGUUCAGUGAUGGACAAUGCAGGUGUAGAAGAACGUGUUCAGUGAUGUAUAAUGCAGAUGUAGAAGAACGUGUUCAGUGAUGUACAAUGCAGGUGUAGAAGAACGUGUUCAGUGAUGUAUAAUGCAGGUGUAGAAGCACGUGUUCAGUGAUGUACAAUGCAGGUGUAGAAGCAAUGUGUUCAGUGAUGUACAAUGC
rnacentral:lncRNA from 1 species